rnacentral:rRNA from 1 species
CAGCCGUAAACUAUGCGCGUUAGGUGUAUCGGUGACCACGAGUCACCGAGGUGCCGAAGGGAAACCGUGAAACGUGCCGCCUGGGAAGUACGGUCGCAAGGCUGAAACUUAAAGGAAUUGGCGGGGGAGCACAACAACGGGUGGAGCCUGCGGUUUAAUUGGACUCAACGCCGGACAACUCACCGGGGACGACAGCAAUAUGUAGGCCAGGCUGAAGACCUUGCCUGAAUCGCUGAGAGGUGGUGCAUGGCGUCAGUGACU